CCUACGGGUGGCAGCAGUGAGGAAUAUUGGUCAAUGGACGAGAGUCUGAACCAGCCAAGUAGCGUGAAGGAUGACUGCCCUAUGGGUUGUAAACUUCUUUUAUAUGGGAAUAAAAUGUUCCACGUGUGGGAUUUUGUAUGUACCAUAUGAAUAAGGAUCGGCUAACUCCGUGCCAGCAGCCGCGGUAAUACGGAGGAUCCGAGCGUUAUCCGGAUUUAUUGGGUUUACAGGGAGCGUAGGUGGAUUGUUAAGUCAGUUGUGAAAGUUUGCGGCUCAACCGUAAAAUUGCAGUUGAAACUGGCAGUCUUGAGUACAGUAGAGGUGGGCGGAAUUCGUGGUGUAGAGGUGAAAUGCUUAGAUAUCACGAAGAACUCCGAUUGCGAAGGCAGUUCACUGGACUGCAACUGACACUGAGGCUCGAAAGUGUGGGUAUCAAACAGGAUUAGAUACCCCUGUAGUC
rnacentral:rRNA from 1 species